AUACAAGAGUCAUCUUUAAAAAUUAGGAAGAAAUUUGGAAGAAGGAAGUGAAGGAGAAAAUCUACUCUGAGGUCUUUUUGGCAGGAGCUGGGAGAAGACAGGAGGGAAAAUGACUGAGGAUACAGUCCCUGUUGCGCAAGGUGCUUUGUGCUGAUGAAUGGCUUCAAGAAAGAGGGCCAAUACUCCCGUGGGGGAGCCCGUUUGUUCAAGAUGGAUUUCGAAUGACGUUUGGAAGAUGGAACAAAACAUUGUAUCGUGGUUAUGUAUAAGAAGCGCUGUAAGGAUCAGAUGAAGAAUUCUUUAAGGAAGUGCCAGAUCAGAUCUGAGGACCUGGAGGAUGUUGCUGCUGACCGUAACACUUGGUGACAGCUGUGUAGGGACAGGGUUCGUAUUCUGGAAAUGGAAAGAACAACCAGAAGGCAGCAGAAGAGAGCCAGGAGAAAUGCAGCCAUGGUUGCCAUCACCACCACCACCACUACCACAUAU